AGUCUUACUCUAACCUUUAGGGGGGGAGGAGCCGAAGGCAGGGCUGAUGACUGCGGUGAAGUCGUAACAAGGUAGCCGUACCGGAAGGUGUGGCUGGAUCACCUCCUUUUAGGGAGACCAUCUGAGAAACUACCGAACCUCAACGAGCGGUAGCAAUCAGUAUCCCUGGUCGUUCGAGAAAUAGAUGUCAAAGCUUUCAAACUAUUAACUGGUUCGGAACAUGGGCUAUUAGCUCAGUUGGUUAGAGCGCACCCCUGAUAAGGGUGAGGUCCCUGGUUCAAAUCCAGGAUGGCCCACCUGGAAAAAAGUGAUGAAUUUGAAGUAAUGAGUCAGGAAUGAAAAUUCAGGACUCAGGGGUUCAAAAAAUCAGAACUUGCUUAGUGGGGGUAUAGCUCAGUUGGUAGAGCGCCUGCCUUGCACGCAGGAAGUCAGCGGUUCGAGUCCGCUUACCUCCACUCUCACUCACUAGCUAGCUAAGUAUUAAAAUACAACCACAACCAAAAAACAUCAGAGAACAGAAAUCAGCACCCAGACGAUUCAUGUGAAAGUCGGAAUGCUGGAGUCGAGAACUCUAGUCAGAACCUUGAAAACUGCAUAGAAAUUAAGUCAUCAUCAAGCUUAGUAAGUAAUCCGAUGCGUCGGAAAAUCUGAGGAGCAGACCACCAUCAAAGAAGAAAGUGGUCAAGUUACAAAGGGCUAACGGUG
rnacentral:misc_RNA from 1 species